CCAGACUCCUACGGGAGGCAGCAGUGGGGGAUAUUGCACAAUGGGGGGAACCCUGAUGCAGCGACGCCGCGUGGGUGAAGGAGCGUUUCGGCGCGUAAAGCCCUAUCGGCAGGGAAGAAGGAGGACGGUACCUGACUAAGAAGCCCCGGCUAACUACGUGCCAGCAGCCGCGGUAAUACGGAGGAUGCGAGCGUUAUCCGGAUUUAUUGGGUUUAAAGGGUGCGUAGGCGGAUUUUUAAGUCAGCGGUAAAAUGUCCGGGCUCAACCCGGGCCGGCCGUUGAAACUGGGGAUCUUGAGUGGGCGAGAAGUAUGCGGAAUGCGUGGUGUAGCGGUGAAAUGCAUAGAUAUCACACAGAACACCGAUUGCGAAGGCAUCUGACGAAUCGGAGAUUGACGCUGAUGCACGAAAUCGUGGGUAUCGAACAGGAUUAGAUACCCCUGUA
rnacentral:rRNA from 1 species